UGGGUAGACUUGCUCCAUGGCCUUCAGAAUAAGAUCCUUUGUGGGGCAUUCAGUCUAUGAAUUAGAAAAUUGCCUUCAUCUCGGAUGCCUGUGCUUCUGG
rnacentral:lncRNA from 1 species